GUGUGCGGUACCUCAUUCCAGGAAGUGCCAUUCACGUGGCUAAAAAUAUGAUUGGCACCUCUUGGAGUGAAGUAAUGUGCAA
rfam:Sus scrofa chromosome X.